UUACGGUCAAAUCACGCUGAAAACACCGGUUCUCGUUCGAUCACCGAAGUUAAGCAUCGGUCAAAUCACGACCGCCAGGUCAGUACCAGGUUAGAUGGGGACCGCUUGGGAACACCUGGUACUGUAAG